rnacentral:rRNA from 1 species
CUGCCCCUACGGGAGGCAGCAGUGAGGAAUAUUGGUCAAUGGGAGAGAUCCUGAACCAGCCAAGCCGCGUGAGGGAAGACGGCCCUAUGGGUUGUAAACCUCUUUUGUCGGAGAACAAAACCCGGGACGUGUCCCGGACUGCGUGUAUCCGAAGAAAAAGCAUCGGCUAACUCCGUGCCAGCAGCCGCGGUAAUACGGAGGAUGCAAGCGUUAUCCGGAUUUAUUGGGUUUAAAGGGUGCGUAGGCGGUCCGUUAAGUCAGCGGUAACAUUGCGGUGCUCAACCCCGUCGAGCCGUUGAACCUGG